UACGGGGGGGGCAAGCGUUGUUCGGAAUUACUGGGCGUAAAGGGCUCGUAGGCGGCCAACUAAGUCAGACGUGAAAUCCCUCGGCUUAACCGGGGAACUGCGUCUGAUACUGGAUGGCUAGAGUUUGGGAGAGGGAUGCGGAAUUCCAGGUGUCGCGGUGAAAUUCGUAGAUAUUGGCUGGAACACCGGUGGCGAAAGCGGCUCUCUGGCCCGGAACUGACGCUGAGACGCGAAAGCGUGGGGAGCAAAUAGG
rnacentral:rRNA from 1 species